rnacentral:rRNA from 1 species
AUGCUCCUCCGCCGCACCGCCGCCGCAGCAGCGCAGCGCUCCUCCUGGUUAUCCCCCUGGCGAACCAUCCUCCCGCACGUCGGCCCCGCCCGCCCUUAUAGCGCUACCACCUCCACCUCCUCUCCACACCGGCAACGGCGCAGCCGCUGCCGCACACCGCAGUUUACGGACGGUUCGCUUACUACCACCUCUGCGCUCCGACCGUUCCCGGACUACUCUCCUCCCCGCCCCGACUCGCCGGCCGACGAUGCCCUCGCGCGCCGUCUCGCCGCCGCGCUCCUCGCUUCGCCCAGCCCAGGCUCCCUCCCUCCUCUCCCCUUCAUUCCCCUCCUCCGCCCGCUGCACCUGCUCCUCGCACUCCCCCUGCUCGCCUCCCACCCCAACCUCACCAGCCUCCUGGUCCCGCUCCUCCUGCUCUUCCCCUCCCGACCUCACCCCCAUCCCCAACUCAUCCAAUGCUUCGCCAUUGCCGCCCAUCUCGCCGUGCGGGAACCCGGAACUGCGCGUGCUAUCCUUGUACGAGCUCUUCGUUUCCCAUCUCCUCAUCGGCAUUUCGUCGAGCAGUUCAUCUUCACAUACAAGGCCUUCUCGUCGGACCCCGCCUCCUUCGACCUCCUCCUCCCGUGCCUCCCCUCCGCCCAGCUGCUCCGCCGGCUCCGCCAGUACGGCCUAUCCCCAUCCCCAGAAUCCUGUAAUGCUGUGCUCUCCCGCCUUCCCCUUGAUGAAGCAAUUGCCUUGUUCCGAGAACUCCCCGACAAGAACGUCUGCUCCCACAAUAUACUCCUCAAGGCGCUCCUCAGUGCAGGCCGGCUCAAGGAUGCACGCCAACAUUUUGAUGAAAUGUCGUCACCGCCAGAUGUUGUGACGUACGGCACUAUGGUCCAUGGCUACUGCGAUCGUGGUGAGCUGGAGAAUGCGGUGAAGCUGUUGGAUGAAAUGGCAGCAAAGGGGCUGGAGUCAAAUGCGACAGUGUAUACAAGUGUGAUUGCAUUGCUGUGCAAUAAAGGGCAGGUUUCAGAUGCUUUGAGGGUGGUAGAGGACAUGACGAUGCAUGGGGUGGUGUUGGAUGCAGUGGUGUUUACAACUGUAAUGAGUGGAUUUUGUAGCAAGGGUGAUUUGGCAGCUGCAAGAAGGUUGUUCGAAGAGAUGCAGAAGAGAGGGUUGGCCGCUGAUGGGGUGACAUAUACCGCGCUUAUCAAUGGUCUUUGUCGGGCUGGGGAGUUGAAAGAGGCAGACAGAGUACUUCAGGAGAUGGUGGACAAGGGAUUGGAUGUUGAUGUGGUCACAUAUACAGCACUCAUUGAUGGGUACUGCAAAAGAGGGAACAUGGUGGAAGCCUUCCGAGUUCACAAUGAAAUGGUGCGGAGAAGAGUGGCACCAAAUGUGGUGACAUACACGGCUCUGUCUGAUGGACUGUGCAAGCAGGGGGAUUUGCGUGCUGCUAAUGAGCUAUUGCAUGAGAUGUGCAACAAGGGGUUAGAGCUGAAUGUUUACACAUACAACUCCCUGAUCAAUGGCCUGUGCAAGUUUGGCAAUCUGGAGCAGGCCAUGAGGAUCAUGACAGAGAUGGAAGCAGCCGGACUUAGACCAGAUGUUUAUACAUAUACAACUCUUAUAGAUACGCUCUGCAAGUCAGGAGAGUUUGACAGGGCUCACAGCAUGUUACAGGAAAUGUUAGAUAAAGGAAUUAAGCCUAGUAUUGCGACUUACAAUGUUCUAAUGAAUGGUUUUUGCAUGUCAGGUAGGGUAGAAGGAGGAAAAAAGCUGCUCGAGUGGAUGCUGGAGAAGAACGUCCGCCCAAAUGUUGUAACUUAUAAUUCUCUUAUGAAGCAGUGCUGCAUUGACAAGAACAUGAAAUCUACCACUGAGAUUUACAAGGGGAUGCAUUCUCAGGAGGUGGCUCCAAAUGAGAACACAUACAAUAUAUUGAUCAAGGGGCACUGUAAGGCAAGAAAUAUGAAAGAGGCACUGUAUUUCCAUCAUGAAAUGAUAGAGAAGGGAUUUAGACUCACAACAAGCUCUUAUAGUGCUCUUAUAAGAUUGCUGAAUAAAAAGAAGAAAUUUUCUGAGGCAAGAGGGUUAUUUGACGAGAUGCGAAAGGAGGGUUUGACAGCUGAACCAGAUGUUUACAGUUUUUAUAUUGACAUCAGUUUUAAUGAGGAUAAUUUGGAGUCGACCAUUACACUUUGUGAUGAACUGGUGGAAGCCAGUCAUGUAAAAUCUAAAGCUGGCACAAACUAA